rnacentral:rRNA from 1 species
GGUAGUGUAGUUAAUAGCUGCAUUAUUUGACGUUUAGCGACAGAAGAAAGCACCGGCUAACUCCGUGCCAGCAGCCGCGGUAAUACGGAGGGUGCGAGCGUUAAUCGGAAUUACUGGGCGUAAAGACGCAUGCAGGUGGUUUGUUAAGUUCAGAUGUGAAAGACCCGGGGCGUCAACCUCCGGAAUUGCAUUUGUAAACUAGGCAGACUAGAGUACUGUAGAGGGGGGUAGGAAUUUCAGGUGUAGCGGUGAAAUAGCGUAGAGAUCUGAAGGAAUACCGGUGGCGAAGGCGGCCCCCUCGGACAGAUACUGACACUCAGAUGCGAAAGCGUGGGGAGCAAACAGGAUUAGAUACCCUGGUAG